ACGACUCUGGAUACUGUAGCUCCUGUGAAAACUAAGGCCUCAAAUCCGAAGUACCUGACUCCGUGGUAUAAUUCUCAAACACGUAGCCUAAAGCACAACCACAUUGUGUGACCGAGAUGGCGACCAGCAUGAAAAGGAGGUGCCAGGUUGUUGUGGUUGUGUAUGGUUCUUCCACAUGCUACCGAGGCCCCUUUUUUAAAAAUAUUUAAACAGUUAAAUUGCCAAUAAAUGACAACAACCAACAGAAGAGUUAAGAGCAGAGAAGAUUUGGCAGGUUUAUCAUGGACGCAGCCCACACACUCAACUCUGCUGCCUAACACAUAUUUUCCUUCCUAAUGUAGCACCACUUAAGAGGAAAUAAACAGGAUUUCUAGCUGUAUAAGAUUUAAUGCCGAUUAUUUCAUGGGUGUUUUUAGUUUUUUGUUUGCGGUCAGUUGGGUCAAGGGGUACUACCAUUUUUGUUCAUAAUUUAAAUUUAAAAUUUAAAAUUAGAAAGCAAUGUCUGAUUUUAAUUUGUUAUUUAUGAGUUAAAUUUUGUUGUGUUUUUAAUUGACUCAAAAAAUGAAAAUGCUUCACCCUUAGAUAUACAGAAGCUCCAAAUCUUUGAGGACUGGUUAUUUGGAAAACAAUGGCUACAUGCAACCAUCUCCAAGCAUUGCCCGAGGUGUCAGAGAGGUGAAAGCACUGUUAGAGGAAGCAGGGCAAACACUGGUCCCUCACUAUCCACUGAAGAUUGAUCAAAUUACCCCUGAACUAAUGAUAAAGGGUUUAGUGGCAGAUGGAGGUACCACCCCGCUACAAAAACUGUGAGUUGAUCCUUUUAACAAAUUACUUCAUAUGUUCUUCUCAACUUCAUCAUCUAGUACAUAGAGAUUUGUUUUCAGUGCUUAAGACUAAACAUCACCAUUCUGUCAAUGUCUUUAUUAGCACAUGUUGAUGUUGUGCAUUUUAAAGCUUUCUCAUUACAGUUUAUUACAGUUUGUCUGCUUUUAGCCACCAAACAUCCAUUGAUAAACCAUAUUAUCUUUCCACCUAUCACUUUUUUUCAAGAAACUAUAAUCCUUAGUAAAUUAGUAGAACAACAUACAAGUGAACAAAUGUGGUGCACACAAGGAAGAGAUUAUAUUGAAGUCACAGGGUGAGUUGAUACAGCAAUGUCAAAGAAUGAGAUUCAAAUGGAGAUCAAAAGUAUGGUUGAGAAAGGUCAUAAGUUUAUAAAUGCAUCUGAGUUACCAUUUCAGUGAUUGUAGGAAACGUGAAAGAUUUUCUACCACUAGUCUGAAUGCACAAAUUAGUUUGCAGUAAGCAAUUUUUAUGUUUUGUGUUGUAUGUCUUAAUGUUGUUUUGAAAGUGAUAAUUAAUUCAUGCUGAUAAUUGCGUAGAAUGGGAAGGAACAGACUAAAUACAGUCGUUAUCAGGGUGUUUUGUUCAGCUCCGGCCUUGCAGCUGGCGCCAAAGGGGUAUCCGCAUAAGUGAUGUUAUUUUUUACUUUAGUGCGAACAGCUCAUAUGAAUUUCAAAGCAGUUCUACAGUCCAACACUGGUCUCUCAAUCUCCCGUUGGA